rnacentral:rRNA from 1 species
UACGUAGGGGGCAAGCGUUGUCCGGAAUCAUUGGGCGUAAAGAGCGUGUAGGCGGUUCGGUAAGUCGGCUGUGAAAGUCCAGGGCUCAACCCCGGGAUGCCGGUCGAUACUGCCGGACUAGAGUUCGGAAGAGGCGAGUGGAAUUCCCGGUGUAGCGGUGAAAUGCGCAGAUAUCGGGAGGAACACCUAUGGCGAAGGCAGCUCGCUGGGACGUUACUGACGCUGAGGAGCGAAAGCGUGGGGAGCGAACAGG